AACGAACGCUGGCGGCAUGCCUAACACAUGCAAGUCGAACGAGACCUUCGGGUCUAGUGGCGCACGGGUGCGUAACGCGUGGGAAUCUGCCCUUUGCUUCGGAAUAACAGUUAGAAAUGACUGCUAAUACCGGAUGAUGUCUUCGGACCAAAGAUUUAUCGGCAAAGGAUGAGCCCGCGUAGGAUUAGGUAGUUGGUGGGUAAAGGCCUACCAAGCCGACGAUCCUUAGCUGGUCUGAGAGGAUGAUCAGCCACACUGGGACUGAGACACGGCCCAGACUCCUACGGGAGGCAGCAGUGGGAAUAUUGGACAAUGGGCGCAAGCCUGAUCCAGCAAUGCCGCGUGAGUGAUGAAGGCCUUCGGGUCGUAAAGCUCUUUUACCAGGGAUGAUAAUGACAGUACCUGGAGAAUAAGCUCCGGCUAACUCCGUGCCAGCAGCCGCGGUAAU
rnacentral:rRNA from 1 species